AUGAUUCAGUUCUGUAGUCUGUUGUGUUCCAGGAUUCAUGAGUCAAUGAUCUUGUGUUUGUCAGAUGUACAGUGCUGUCUUCUGCGUAAGUUUGGUGAUCAUAUCCCGGAGGACGUGGCUCAGUUCUACCUGGCUGAGAUGGUGAUGGCCAUCUCUUCAGUCCACAGGUUUAACACUCCCAGAGUUCCUGGCCUUCUAAGAUGUCACGGACAGACAGAAAUAAACUCGCUGCUCAUCAGCUGUAACUCCUCUGGGGACAUUACUCAGCCUGCAGUUCUUCUGAAUAACGCACAGCUCUCUGGAGAAAGAUUGUGGUUUCUGUAAAUAAACAACCUUUUAUUUAGACAGAAAUCUUAUUUUGUGUUGAUGUAUUUUCUGUGUCAGAGGACAGAAAAAAAAAAAAUCAGGAAUGGCAUCCGGUGUAAAACAUGUGCCAAAUUAAACAUGUGGAUCAUAAACAAGAUUUCCAUACCAGAGGCCAGGGUUAACAAUGACCCCCAUCUGUACUGCUGGCCAGCAGUGUACCGAUGGAAACUAUGCUACUGGUGGGCAAAAGAGGAGAAGGAGAGGAGGAAGGCAUGUCCAGACACAUAAAGAAAAGAGGAAGGGUAAGAGAGUGGAUGUGAGAGUCAGACUGGUAAAGGUAGAGCGCUGGCUGAUAUGAUGGAACAGAGAAAAGUAGAUAUACUGUGUGUGCAAGAGACCAAAUGGAAGUGGAGUAAGGCCAGGAGCAUCAGAGGUGGAUUCAAACUGUUCUACCAUGAUGUGGAUGGAAAGAGAAACGGCAUAGGGGUAAUCCUGAAGGAAGAGUAUGUAAAUAGUGUAAUUGGAUGUGAAGAGAGUGUCUGACAAAAUUAGUGUAAAGCUGGAAUUUGAAGGGAUGAUGGUAAAUGUCAUCAGUGCAUAUGCCCCGCAAAUGAGGUGUGAGAUGGAGGUGAAAGAAGAUUUGGAUAAAGUGGUGGUGAGGGUACCCAAAGAAGAAAGAGUGGUGUUUGGAGCGGACUUCAGUGGGCAUGUUGGAAAAGGGAACAUAGGGGAUGAGGAGGUGAUGAGUAGGUACAGUGUUAAGGAAAGGAAUGAGGAAGGGCAGAUGGUGGUAGAUUUUUGCAAAAAAGAAAAAAAUAAAUUAUAUAUAUAUAUAUAUAUAUAUAUAUAUAUAGUAAUAGUGGAAGGGCAGAUGGUGGUCAUUUUACAAAAAUAACGGACAUGGCAGUGAUAAAUACAUAUUUUUACCACUUGAGACCCAGUAAAACAUUUUAGGAAAAAAUUAGUAUGUCAUUACAUUGUUUAGAGCAUUAAUAAUAAUAAUAAUAAUAAUAAUAAUAAUAAUAAUAAAAAUUAAAAAUGAUAUUUCAUUCAUGAGUUAUACUACGUCCUUGGUAGAGGACAUCGGUACUCAAUUAAAGAAAAAUAAAAUAAAAAGACAUGAAUGCAUAGACAAAAACUUAACGUUUUUUUUUUUUUUUAUUUUUUUUUACCUAAACUUUAGUAUAAAGUAUAAUUCUCAACUAUGUUAUAACAGAAUGAUUUGUAUAUUACCUAUUUUCUUUAUAGUCAAAACGUAGUGUAAAAUAGUACUAAAAAAAUUUUUAAGUAAUUUUUUUUUUUUUUUUUAAUUUCUACCUAAUUACAUUUUUAGUUUUCUAGGAUUUUUUUUUUUAUUACCUAAACUUUGUUUAAAGAUAAUUCUCAACUAUGUUACAACAGAAUGAUUUGAUAUACAAUUUUUCUUCAUGCAAAAUGUGUGUAAAAUGGCCAUAAACAGGUUUUCUCAUUAUAUAUA
rnacentral:lncRNA from 1 species